rnacentral:rRNA from 1 species
GUGCCAGCCGCCGCGGUAAUACGUAGGGUGCAAGCGUUAAUCGGAAUUACUGGGCGUAAAGCGUGCGCAGGCGGUGAUGUAAGACAGAUGUGAAAUCCCCGGGCUCAACCUGGGAACUGCAUUUGUGACUGCAUCGCUGGAGUGCGGCAGAGGGGGAUGGAAUUCCGCGUGUAGCAGUGAAAUGCGUAGAUAUGCGGAGGAACACCGAUGGCGAAGGCAAUCCCCUGGGCCUGCACUGACGCUCAUGCACGAAAGCGUGGGGAGCAAACAGGAUUAGAUACCCUGGUAGUCCACGCCCUAAACGAUGUCAACUGGUUGUUGGGUCUUCACUGACUCAGUAACGAAGCUAACGCGUGAAGUUGACCGCCUGGGGAGUACGGCCGCAAGGUUGAAACUCAAAUGAAUUGACGG